UACGUAGGAUGCAAGCGUUGUUCGGAAUUACUGGGCGUAAAGAGUACGUAGGCGGUCUGGCAAGUCUGAAUAUUAAAGACUGGAGCUUAACUCCAGGACUGUAUCGGAAACUGCCAAACUAGAGGACAAUAGAGGAAGUCGGAAUUCUCAGUGUAGCGGUGAAAUGCGUAGAUAUUGGGAAGAACACCAGUGGCGAAAGCGGACUUCUGGGUUGUUACUGACGCUGAGGUACGAAAGCGUGGGAGCAAACGGG
rnacentral:rRNA from 1 species